UACGGGGGGGGCAAGCGUUGUUCGGAAUUACUGGGCGUAAAGUGCGCUGUGAGCGGCCAACUAAGUCAGACGUGAAAUCCCCAGGCUUAACCUGGGAACUGCGUCUGAUACUGGAUGGCUUGAAUUCGGGAGAGGGAUGCAGAAUUCCAGGUGUAGCGGUGAAAUGCGUAGAUAUCUGGAGGAACACCGGUGGCGAAGGCGGGUCUCUGGGCAGUAACUGACGCUGAGGAGCGAAAGCGUGGGGAGCGAACAGG
rnacentral:rRNA from 1 species